AGCUUUGCGCAGAGGCGGUGUCGUAUACCUAAUGAAGUGAUAACUGAGGGGCGACUAUUGCUAGUUGAAGCUCACUACACUCCAGAAUUAUUGGUGCAUAUUCUUUUCCAAGCAAAAAUGAAGUCAUUAUUUGUUACCUGUGAAUCAGG